GUUCUGAAAGCCGCUGCCUGCAGCCCUGCAGCCUGCUCUCAUCUCUCCUCCAGCCAGGCGCGAGCAGGCAGCCACUGAGGAUGAAGCCUCCAUCCCUUCUCCAAAGCAAGGACAAAACGGCCUCUGUCCCCAGCUAAGGGCCGGCCAGGACGAAGCCCCGCUGCUGCACAGGGCCGAGGCGUCCUCGGAUGCACAGCCACGGGAGAGAAGAUGGCUUUGGCCUGGAGAGGUUGCGGCAUGGAAUGGAGACAAAUCCUGUCGGUGGCGCCCGGAGGCCAGGAGAGGGGCAAAGACAAACAAAUAGCGGGGCAGAGCUUCACUGAGAGUGGAGGGGCUUACACAAGCCAGUGACCCCAGAAAAGCAAUCACCUCACAAAAUGAACAGAAAGGGGCCUAGAAGCUGCCCCAGCUCAGUUUUGCAUGGGUAGGCCAUGCUAGGCACACUGGACCCUUCUAAGUCACCUGCCAUGGGAAAGGCCAGCGAUAUGCACCCCUGGAGUCCUUUUAUGGAUCGUUCUAAAAGGCUGUAUGGGUCUUCCAGGAGGCCCCUGGUCAUACAGUAGAUUUUGGAGAGGUCUGAUAGACUCUACGGUUUAUAGAAUUUCCCCUUGUGCCUCAACACUCUGCCCCGAACUCAUGCUUGGCCGUAGAUAAAGAGAAGCCGGCCAGCCAGGACAGGGCCAGGAUCCCAUCAUGACUUCUCUCUGGAGGUAGAAUCCAGUUUAGGACACUGGCCACAGAGGCCUGGAUUUAAGCCCAGGUCAUGUUUCUCAGCUCUGGGUCCCUAAACAACCACAAGCUCUCAAAGCCACAAUGUUCCCAUCCAUGAAGUGGGUCUCAGGCAUGCCUGCACCUCUGGGAGUGACUUGAGGGUAGUAAAUGGUCACUCCUGGCUCCAGCACCCCGGGCCUAGCGCCCUAAGAGUAUCACCAGGUCCUCUGUUUGGUAGAUGGGGAAACUGAGGUUCAUCUGACUCUUAUUUGGCAGAUCUGGGACUAGAACCCUCCCCUCCCUUUUUGGCUUCCUAUUCUCUGACACCACAGAUGGUGUGCUGAGAAGGCUGAGGAAAAGCGAGGAGAAGGGAAUUAGGAGACCCAGCGAGAUGGCGGGAGGCAGGAACA
rnacentral:lncRNA from 1 species